rnacentral:lncRNA from 1 species
CCCCCGAUUUUUCCUGCCCAGCCAGGAGGCUGCAGGACCCCCAGAUCCAGCCCCACCCUGCAGCAAUCUCAGCUCGGUCUCCACCCUGCCCGCCCGGGGUUCCCCGGGUGCCCCCCUCCUACCUGCGGGGUCGGACGCGGCUUUGCUCGGCUCCCUGUGCACCUCCCGGUCCUGCGGAGGGGGUAUAUAAGGGGCCGGGGAGAAACUUCUGGAAAGUUGGGAAAACCCUCUCAAAAAUGCUGGGGAGGGAGAGGAAGGGGAGGAUCCGUGCCGGCUGUGUCCCGGCCCGCCGCCAAUGGCAGGGAAUGCCGGCCCCGCGCCGCCGAAGGGGGGUCGGGCUGGAUGGGGGAUGCGCGUUCCCUCCUCCUGCCCUGCCUGGAGCCCUGCCUGAGCCCAGCCAGCCCUUGCAGCAGGAACAUGGGCAACUAUUCCCUGCACAAGCUGUGCUUUUGCCUUUUCACAUCUUAUUUCCAUCCUCUCCCUCCCCCGGGCGUUUCCUGCAGCUGGAUGGUUGUUGGUACCAAAGGCAGUGUGGUGGAGGAGAAGGAAAAGACCUGAUUGCUGUGGAGAAAAUUCCCCCUCCAUGGCAUCAUCCAGUUCCAGUUAAUAGAGUAGUUGGAUCUGCUGGAGGCAAGUUCAUCAAAUGUGGGAUGCACAAUGAAUCCACUCUGAGCUCUGUCUCUGAUUCACCAUGUGCAAUGAAUCCAGCAAUUUGCUGCUACUUGAAGCCUUUCUAAUUUCCCUGGCAUUUGCAGGAAGGUCCAUGGUCACCCUGUGGAAGCAGGUAUGAAGUCGAAGGUGGGGCAGGAUGGGGGGACACCCAAAAGCCCUUCAGGAAUCUCAGGCACCACAGGGCUGAUGCAGAGUUCAGUGCAAACAAAUCCUUGUGGGCAUGAGAAGCACUGGGCUCGUGGCACCGUGCACUCCAGAGGUCCUUUAGGGCCUCACCACCUGUGUUGUCCCAGUGGAAAAUCCCAGUGCUCUGGCUUCAGCUAAACAGAUAAUUGCAUGCCUUAGUGGCAGCCCUGCAUCCCUGGGGCAGCAGGACCACUGUCCCUGAGGGUGGGAUCAGGGUGAAAAACCUCCUCCAGCCUUGGCUGCCACCAGGGUUUGUGUCUCCGGUCCCAGCUCCAAUCCCACGCCCUGAGUCCUGCACUGGGAAUACACUUCUGGCUCUGCAUGGCUGUGGCCAAGAGUUUCCCAUGCUUCAGAAAGUGCCAUAAACCCACAAUAAACAGCACAGCCCCUGCA